rnacentral:rRNA from 1 species
UACGGAGGAUGCAAGCGUUAUCCGGAAUGAUUGGGCGUAAAGCGUCCGCAGGUGGCAAUGUAAGUCUUCUGUCAAAGCGUCUGGCUCAACCAGAUAAAGGCAGUGGAAACUACAUAGCUAGAGUAAGGUAGGGGUAGAGGGAAUUCCUGGUGUAGCGGUGAAAUGCGUAGAGAUCAGGAAGAACACCGGUGGCGAAAGCGCUCUGCUGGACCUUAACUGACACUGAGGGACGAAAGCUAGGGGAGCGAAUGGG